rnacentral:snRNA from 1 species
GGAUGUGAGGGUGACCUUGCUGCGACAUCUGUCACCCCAUUGACUGCCAGGGUUGAUUUGGCUGAUCUGGGUCAUCUGGCUGACUAGGCAGGUGUCCCCUUCCUCCCUCACCACUCUAUGUGUGGCCCUCCCAAAGCUGUGUGCUAAGCUGAAGAGGAUGGCCUUACCAAAUAGAGACAGACAGGUCUUCAGUCGGUCAAGGAUAUGUGAGUAGAUGUGCUCCCCUGCAAGAACUUCUAAACAAGAAAACUACCACUUGAGGGGUUGGUGAAAUAUCUCACUUCAAUAGUGUGCUGCUUUACCAUGUACACAAGCCAAGUUAAAGCCUGACCUCCACU